AGCAUAGCCAUGCUAUACAAGCAACCUGCCUGUUAGCCCAUUAGUUAGGAAAAAACACAGCAUACAUAGGGUUCAACACUCUCCGAGGUUCCAGACAUCUCCUGGGGGUCUUAGAAUGCAUCACUCAUGGGAUGUGGGCCGCCAGCAUGGCUGCACACAGAGCAGUACAGGUCCACGUCCAGGGAACGGAACCCAGGCCCUUGAAGCAGACCAUGCUGAACUUAACCAGUAGGCCAGCAGGGUUGGCCCAUUAUUCUUUUUUCAAGUUACAACUGAAUGGACAUUCAUUGACCAAUGGAGGAUACCCACAUAUCACAUCAGGACACCUGAGAGACCCACACAGCUAUACAUCUGAAGGUGGAUGGACUAGCUCCCUGGGAAGUGGUGGAGAUAGGAUAACGCUGCCCUCACAGAAUGAAUUAGGAAGUAUCCCUCUACUUCUAACUUCAGGAGGAGAUUGUGGAGAUUUGGGGGGGUGAAGAAGACUGGCCCUGAGCUCACAUCUGUUGCCAAUCUGCCUCUUUUUGCUUAAGGAAGAUUGUCGGUGACCUAACAUCUGUGCCAAUCUUCCUCUAUUUUGUAUGUGGGAUGCUGCCAUGGCAUGGCCUGGUGACUAGUGUGCAGGUCCAUGCCCGGGAUUCAGAUCCACAAACCCUGGGCCACCAAAGCGGAGUGCAGGAACUUAACCACUAUGCCACUGGGCUGGCCCCAAUAAUAUGUUAAUCUUAUUGUUUGAAAUAUUGUGUGAUAAUCUCUAUCUAACACUGUCUACUUAAAUAAUCACAAAAUUGUUUUUCCUUUAUUCAUAGAUUUUCAAAUGCUAAUUUUCCAUUCCUUUGUAAUCACUGUAACCAGAACUUUAUGCAAUUUUUUCUUGACCUUGCUUCUACCCUUGCCACCUCACAAUCUAUUCAUUCCUUAUUCGGAAACCAGAGUGUCCUUUUUUCUCACCUUGCCUUGACUAGCUUCACCUCUUUCUUUCUCGAUAACUUACAUUAAAGGUAAACUGGGCUAUUAGAAUGUAAUGCAGAUUUUGAUUACAUUCUCCACAAUACUCCAAAGGCAAUAAGUGUAUAAAUUUAACUUAAUGCUUAUAUAUGUUAUAACAUAAAUACAAAUGUAUAUUCACAAAUCUGAAACGCAUAAGCAGAAGUAAUUUUUUCAAAGGAAAUGCCCCAGCCAUUUUCAAAACUGAAAGAAACAUUGUAAAAUAUUAUGUGGAUCAACUUAAUAUAUCAUGGAACAGAAAAUUAUUAUAAAUCACAAGGACUUCAAGAAUCUAAAGUUAAAUUUUUUGCAAAAUGUUUAGCAAUAUCUAUGUGAUAUGUAUCUUCAGUGUUGUGCUUCUAUUUUACAUUUAUGAGGGACUUUUGAAUAUUAGUUUCUGAGUGUAUGAAACAGUGCUUUAGGAGGUAUUCUUUUUCAAAUUCACAUUAUUGUUAGGCUGAAAUAUGUCUUACUUCAUUGGCAUGUACUCGUUUUGGGGCAAAGAAAAUUCAUAUUUCCAUUGACUAUGUGUGCUGCUCUAAAAUUUGAUAUUUUUUUCAUUUUUCAUUAUGAUUUAUCAAAUUUGGGAAAGAAGAGUCUGGUUCUUUAGUGAUUUAUAUUAGCAUGCUCCUUUUGGAGGAUAUGAAAGAUGCAUGUAGAAUGAUUGUAUCAACUCAGCAAACAAAAUUACCUUGUAGACCAUGACAUUGUGUACAGGAAAACAUCUAAUAUUUACCAUGUGGACUAAAGUGAAACUAUAAUUAACAUAUCUCUGAUAACCAGAUAUUAAAGGACGACAAAGGCAAAUAAAAUAAAUAAUAUGGUUACAAAGGACAAUUGAUAGUAUCACUUCAUUACAAAUUAUGAGGAUGUGCUUUUUUUUAAUGGACAUGGGAAAAGUUGUUACAUUAGGAUAUUGAUCAAAUAAACAUGUGGUUGAUUUCAUUAAACAGCAAAGUAGAGGAACUACACUCUGAUGUAAUGUGUCUGACUGCAAUGGGACGGUAUGGAUUUUCAGAAAGGCUUCUUGAUUAGUUUGAUUAAUUUACACACAGCAUAUUUUAGUUCCUCCUGGAUUUGUGUAAUAUCUGCACAAAGUGCUUUUUAUAAUAAACUUCUAAAAAUAAAUGAA
rnacentral:lncRNA from 1 species